AUUGAACGCUGGCGGCAGGCCUAACACAUGCAAGUCGAACGAGUGGCGGACGGGUGAGUAAUGUCUGGGAAACUGCCUGAUGGAGGGGGAUAACUACUGGAAACGGUAGCUAAUACCGCAUACCAUCAGAGGUGCCCAGAUGGGAUUAGCAAGUUGGUGGGGUAAAGGAUCACCAAGGAGAGGAUCCCUAGCUGGUCUGAGAGGAGGACCAGCCACACUGGAACUGAGACACGGUCCAGACUCCUACGGUAGGCAGCAGUGGGGAAGAUUGCACAAUGGGCGCAAGCCUGAUGCAGCCAUGCCGCGUGUAUGAAGAAGGCCUUCGGGUUGGAAAGUACUUUCAGCUGGGAGGCGUUACCCGCAGAAGAAGCACCGGCUAACUCCGUGCCAGCAGCCGCGGUAAUUC
rnacentral:rRNA from 1 species